rnacentral:tRNA from 1 species
GGUCCCGUGGCCCAAUGGAUAAGGGGCCUGACUACGGAUUAGGAGAUUGUAGGUUCGAGUCCUGCCGGGAUCG